rnacentral:rRNA from 1 species
UACGAAGGGGGCUAGCGUUGUUCGGAUUUACUGGGCGUAAAGCGCACGUAGGCGGAUUGUUAAGUCGGGGGUGAAAUCCUGGAGCUCAACUCCAGAAUUGCCUUCGAUACUGGCUUUCUAGAGGCUGGAAGAGGUUAGUGGAAUUCCCAGUGUAGAGGUGAAACUCGUAGAUAUUGGGAAGAACACCAGUGGCGAAGGCGGCUAACUGGUCCAGAUCCGACGCUGAGGUGCGAAAGCGUGGGGAGCAAACAGG